ensembl:lincRNA
CUAAUUUUCUAUCCCUCCCUUUAAUAUAAAUUGUGACACAGACAUUUAUCACACUGAAAGAAUGAGUGAAUAUUCUACCUCCAAGUUUUCCUGACUCCAUCUGAGGGUCUUUUUGUUUUUUGUUUUUUGUUUUUUUUUGGCAUGAAGAAACAAAUAACUUUACAUCGGAAGCAAAAGUCUAACUGGAAGGAAAGAGCUGAAAGGUACACAGUGGUAGAGGAGCGUGCACGCCCUGCCUGGUGUUCUCCUCCCCGGGGACAGUCCACACUCACUCCUCUUUGUCACCGUCCUCCAGGCUGAGCCUGCCACACAGGCAGUUAGCCAGGCCCUCCACGGGGGCCCCCGGCCUGUGUGGAUUGGUGAAUUCCUUGCCCAGCUCCCUGAGCACCAUGCCCAGGCAUGCAGGCAGAAGCCCAGAAGAAGUCCCUCAGGCGGGGGUCGCUCUUCCCGGCCGCCAGGCGGCGCAGCUCCAGGAGGCUCUGGCCCAAGGCGUCCUGCAGGCGGAAGGCGCGCUACACUGUCUGCGCGCCGCUGCCCCGCAAGGGGUCGCUGUGUGACUGCACAGUGUCCUGGGGACUACGGUGUCGCUGGGGACUACACCGCUGCUGCGCUCCGUGUGCAGCCCCAGGAGCUCUCCGCCAGCUCCCAGCGCAGUGUUUCCACAGCACCUGUGCCCUUCAAGUUUCAGCAGGAUGAGCACCCAGUCCCCACACACACUACAGAAACUGGCAAUUCAGAGCUUGCUGAGGGACAAGGCCUUGGCCAUGGAGGCCGUGGAAUAUCUGCCAGGGGCGCUCUUCCCACCAGUGUUCAUGGAGGCCUUCACUGGGGGACACACUGAGGUCCUGAAGGCCAUGUUGCUGGCCUGGCCCUUUCCCUGCCUACCCCUAGGAUCCCUGAUGGAGAUGAGGACACCAGGUUCUUUGGACACUCAGAAGAAUGUUCACCAGAUGAAGGAAAGAAUGUUUCAAGCUGUGCUGGAAGGGAUUCACAUGCUGCUGAGCCAGAAGGUUUGCUCCAGGAAGUUCAAAUUGCAAGUGCUCGAUAUGCGGGCUGUGCACCAGAACUUCUGGACAGUCUGUGCUGAAAACAAGUUGCAAGCCUGCUCCUCAGAAACCAUGAAGAGGAGAAAAACAAGGAAGAGUCUGCCAAGAGUGGCAAAAAAGCAGCCCCUCAAGGUGAUUGUAGAUCUGUGGAUCAUGAAUGAGUGGCUGGAUCCAGUGGAUAGCUACCUCCUCAAGUGGGUCCAGGAGAUGGAAAACCGGGUGCACCUGCAGUGUCCGAAGAUGUGUAUCACGGGCCUGUGCACCGAACGGGUCACAAAGAUCCUCAAAAAGCUGAAUCUUUAUUCUGUGCGGGAGAUGGAUGUGCUUUUCUCCUGGACAAUGUUUUCCUUGGCUCAUUUUGCCCCUUUUCUGGGACAGAUGAGAAAUCUUCACAAAGUGUUUAUUUCUCACGUCUUUGUGCCUGCCACCAUUUCCCCAGAAAUGAGAGAGAAGUUGUUCACCAAAAUCACCUCUCAAUUUCGUAAGCUUCACUGUUUACAAGAGAUUUAUAUGGACUCCGUUGAGUUCCUUGAAGGCCAUUUGGACCAGGUGCUCAGGUAAGAUGUG